rnacentral:rRNA from 1 species
AUAGCGUAUAUUAAAGUUGUUGCAGUUAAAAAGCCCGUAGUUGAACUUCAGGCCUGGCCGGGCGGUCCGCCUCACGGUGUGUACUGUCUGGCUGGGUCUUACCUCUUGGUGAGCCGGCAUGCCCUUCACUGGGUGUGUCGGGGAACCAGGACUUUUACCUUGAGAAAAUUAGAGUGUUCAAAGCAGGCUUAUGCUCGAAUACAUUAGCAUGGAAUAAUAAAAUAGGACGUGCGGUUCUAUUUUGUUGGUUUCUAGAGUCGCCGUAAUGAUUAAUAGGGAUAGUUGGGGGCAUUAGUAUUCAGUUGCUAGAGGUGAAAUUCUUGGAUUUACUGAAGACUAACUACUG